UACGGAGGGUGCAAGCGUUAUCCGGAUUUACUGGGUUUAAAGGGUGCGUAGGUGGUUCAUUAAGUCAGUGGUGAAAUCUCUCGGCUUAGCCGAGUGGCUGCCAUUGAUACUGGUGAACUUGAAUACGGUUGAAGUAGGCGGAAUAAAUCAUGUAGAGGUGAAAUUCUUAGAGAUGAUUUAGAACACCGAUUGCGAAGGCAGCUUACUAAACCGCAAUUGACACUGAUGCACGAAAGCGUGGGGAUCAAACAGG
rnacentral:rRNA from 1 species